CUCUGAAGGGAGAACAUCUCUUUAAUAUAGACUGCUUCUUGCAGAGUAGUGCUGCAUAGCUGAAGAGCCUUUUCCCCAGUUAGUGGAUUUUGUGUCAGCAGCAUGUGGAAUUUCCUUUGGUCACUCAGUGUUGUCAUAUCGUAUAGACAGCAGCACUCAGAACAGCGCAGCAUCACUGCUUCAUGGAUGCAGGACCGCCAGCUGAAAAUUUAUGUGAAACAUAACUACAGCAGUGCUAACUUGUUAUUACAGUGUCCUAGGAAGAUCUGGUGCCAAGAAAAGAACAUGUGAAGCAGGACUGCUUUCCCUUCCUGUCCUUCCUACACAAUGCUGAGUGAAGAGAUAAGC